rnacentral:rRNA from 1 species
GACGAACGCUGGCGGCGUGCUUAACACAUGCAAGUCGAACGGAAAGGCCCUGCUUUUGUGGGGUGCUCGAGUGGCGAACGGGUGAGUAACACGUGAGUAACCUGCCCUUGACUUUGGGAUAACUUCAGGAAACUGGGGCUAAUACCGGAUAGGAGCUCCUGCUGCAUGGUGGGGGUUGGAAAGUUUCGGCGGUUGGGGAUGGACUCGCGGCUUAUCAGCUUGUUGGUGGGGUAGUGGCUUACCAAGGCUUUGACGGGUAGCCGGCCUGAGAGGGUGACCGGCCACAUUGGAACUGAGAUACGGCCCAGACUCCUACGGGAGGCAGCAGUGGGGAUUAUUGCACAAUGGGCGGAAGCCUGAUGCAGCAACGCCGCGUGGGGGAUGACGGCCUUCGGGUGGUAAACCGCUUUCGCCUGUGACGAAGCGUGAGUGACGGUAAUGGGUAAAGAAGCACCGGCUACCUACGU